AGGACGAACGCUUGCGACGUGCCUAAGAAAUGCAAGUCGAACGGACAGUAGCAAUACUGUUAGUGGCGAACGGUCGCGUAACACGUGGGCAACCUGCCCUGAAGCGGGGACAACAACUCGAAAGAGUUGCUAAUACCGCAUGUGAAUCGCUGUGGCAUCACAGAGGAUUCAAAGCCGCAAGGCACUUCAGGAUGGGCCCGCGGCCUAUCAGCUAGUUGGUGAGGUAACGGCCCACCAAGGCUUCGACGGGUAGCUGGUCUGAGAGGACGAUCAGCCGGAUUGGGACUGAGAUACGGCCCAGACUCCUACGGGGGCAGCAAUUAGGAAUCUUGCACAAUGGGCGAAAGCCUGAUGCAGCGACGUCGCGUGAAGGAUGAAAUCUUUCGGGAUGUAAACUUCUUUUUCAGCCAUGAAACAAUGACAGUAGCUGAAGAAUAAGCCCCGGCUAACUACGUGCCAGCAGCCGC
rnacentral:rRNA from 1 species